CGCGCUGUGCAUGCGCACUGUGCACGCAGCGCAGAUCAGGGUAACCGAGGACGUGAAAAGCCAAGCCUCUGGAGGAGCCGCGUCUGAGGAGCAGGCUCCUGGAGUUAAAAGGCAUCUGCCCAAUUCCAAACCCUAACCUACAAGUAUGCACACAUUUCUCCUGAAGUCUGGGCUGCCUUGCCAGGUCUGGAUUAUGUGGACUGGCUGCUGCAUCUUCAAGUAAGACACACGUGGUAGCCUUGAUUGCUGCAGAAGCCUGGGACCCCGGCAGACAUGAUGAAACUACACAGUUGAGCUCUUUGGAGACAAGAUAACAAUUUUUGGAGAUCCCAGUGCUGCUGCUCCUGAUAUACAUUCUGAGUAUCAAGAUCACAUGGGCACUCAAAACAGCUCUCUGCUGCUGCUACCAGAGAAUACCCUUUCCCUGUGCUUCCUGUGGAACAUUGUGUCAUAGUUAGCUGCAUUAUAAAGAGGUGAAAUAAUUGGUUAUUCAGUCAGUGAUUCUACUGGAUUAAAAACAAGACAGGUUGGUAAUGAUCCAGCCAAAGUGAAUAAAAAGAGAACAGAUUACAGAUCCUUAUAAAGAUGUACACAUCCAGCAUUGGGAUAACAGAGGAAGGAAGAGCCUAUUUGGAGAGAAAUACAAUGUAAGUGAAUUUGGUAUUAUAGUAUCAGGCGAUACAAUGCUAUUGUACUGUAUUCCACACUCACACACAAAAAAAAUCAAUGACUCCUCAAGUGCAUUUACUAAAGACACAAACAGGUUGAAAAAGAGAAAGGAGACGGAUGGAAAUAAUCAGCUCUCUUCUUCUGGCAGGCAGGAGUCCUGCUAAGCAGACUCCUUAGGGAGAGAGAAUAUCAUUUUCCUGCCUGUCCAGGACUAAAGCUGCUAUAGAACAGAAAUGCAUGGCUUUCUUAGGAACUGUCACUUUUGUGGUGGGAAAGAUUUAGGAGACCUAUCCAGCAGCCUGGAAUACUAUAUAAUAGAAGUAUCAUUUUUUUGUAGCAGUGGCCCAACAGGAUGCCUUUCCUGCAUGGCCACAAGCUUUGCCCAUGAUUGCUGCAUCCCUUAGCCAAAAAUGAUUUGUUAGUGUUGAGUGAUGGGGUAAUGUCUCUCUUUUGCUUAAUGUGACUUUAUCUUUCCUCAAGCAUUUCUUGAGUGACCUUAAAACAACUACUCCCCCAGGGUGAAUGGAAUUGAUUAGUCAUGGAAUCAAAUAGAUAUUUUUCACUUAUAUCACAAAUAUAUAUACAUAAUAAUCAGUUAUAUGGUUAUUUGUUUUAUGAUGGUUCUAUUUGUAUUAGGAACAAAACUCAUUACAGAGAGUUAAAAUGACUGCCUGUCUAGAGAAGUAUUGCAGAGACUGCAUUGUGAAUUGGGUUCAGAAACUGCGUUACUUGAGCACAGUAGGGCCUAAAGUAAAUAAACUGAUUUAUCCAGUCUCUUCUCAUGAAAAUUACAAGUCUAGCUAUUAAGUAUGAAGCUAUCUCUCUAAAUCUCAUAAAAGCUUGUAAUUUGCUCUCUACUUGACUAUGCAUUUUAACUAAUUAUUUAAAUAGGAAUUUAGUACUAACACAAAUGUGCCUGAUUGACAAUUAAAUAGGUCUUUCUUCAUGUGGUAGCAACAUAUUUGUAUGCUUCCUCUCACAGACCCUUAGCAUCUUCUUCAAAUUAACAAAUGACACAGGUCUACCUCUGUUGCUAGAU